rnacentral:rRNA from 1 species
AUACGUAGGUGGCAAGCGUUGUCCGGAAUUAUUGGGCGUAAAGCGCAUGUAGGCGGUGCCUUAAGUCUGUCGUGAAACUGCGGGGCCUAACCCCGUAUGGCGAUGGAAACUGUGGCACUUGAGUGCAGGAGAGGAAAGGGGAACUCCCAGUGUAGCGGUGAAAUGCGUAGAUAUUGGGAAGAACACCGGUGGCGAAGGCGCCUUUCUGGACUGUGUCUGACUCUGAGAUGCGAAAGCCAGGGUAGCGAACGGGAUUAGAUACCCCGGUAGUCCUGGCCGUAAACGAUGGGUACUAGGUGUGGGAGGUAUCGACCCCUUCCGUGCCGGAGUUAACGCAAUAAGUACCCCGCCUGGGGAGUACGGCCGCAAGGCUUAAACUCAAAUGAAUUGACGGGG